CAAUGGGGGCAACCCUGAUCCAGCCAUGCCGCGUGUGUGAAGAAGGCCUUCGGGUUGUAAAGCACUUUCAGAUGUGAGGAAAGGUGAGUAGUUAAUACCUGCUWGCHGUGACGUUAGCAUCAGAAGAAGSACCGGCUAACUCCGUGCCAGCAGCCGCGGUAAUACGGAGGGUGCGAGCGUUAAUCGGAAUUACUGGGCGUAAAGCGCGCGBAGGCGGUUUGUUCAGUCAGAUGUGAAAGCCCCGGGCUCAACCUGGGAASUKCAYUUGAWACUGSWAGACUAGAGUACYRUAGAGGGGAGUGGAAUUUCCGGUGUAGCGGUGAAAUGCGUAGAGAUCKGAAGGAACACCAGUGGCGAAGGCGACUCCCUGGAUUGAUACUGACACUGAKGUGCGAAAGCGUGGGGAGCAAACAGGAUUAGAUACCCUGGUAGUCCACGCCGUAAACGMUGUCUACUAGCCGUUGGGACACUUGAUGUCUUAGUGGCGCAGCUAACGCGSUAAGUWGACCGCCUGG
rnacentral:rRNA from 1 species